UCUGAAAAUUACCCUUUUUGAAUUCUUGCAAUGAUUGAAUUCCAGCAUUAAACUGAUUAAUUUAUUGUUUUCAUUAGAUUCCAGAACCAUUUUUCAAGAUUGUACUUACAAAUAAUAUAACAUACUUCAAGUUUUUCCAUUUAUUUUUCAAAAUAACCCAGAAAUAUAGAAUUUUGGCUGAAUUUAUUACUACCAGUACAACUAUUGAACAAUAGAUGGCAGGAUUCUGGCAACUACCCAUCGCCAUUUUUGACUUAAUAGCGCAUUAUCACAGCCUUUCAGUAUAAAAGUUGAUAUUUAGUUGUAGGUUUCAAAGAAGACAAUACCUACACCGAACGAUUACUGUUGAAUGCUCUGAUGAAAACGACCGUCAAUUGAUUGAAAAUUCUGGCCUUAAACUUGAAUGAAUGAGUGACACCGUAACAUCGCAGUUUGACGCUAAGAAUCAAGAUGAUGUGCUCAAGAGCAUAAUUGGCGAACGGCGUGGUUGGGGCAUGUCGUCGAGUGGUGGGGGCCAAAUGCCGGGGGGCGGUGGGGCUGGGGGUGGCUACCCAACUCACCACCUGCCUCCCACCGUACCCAAUCCCACCCCCACCUCCUCGCAGAGACUCAGACUGCCCCCCACUGCUCCUCCACCUCACCAGAUUAUGCCUCCCUGGAUACACUCGCAGGCUACAGGUCUAGGCUCGCUGCCGAGCAGCCGGCACACGUACUUUGGGUCGCCGCACCUGACCGCUGGGCGCCCAGCGUGGCCGACAGGCGCAACCGCCAAGCCAGCCGGGGCGCACCUGGGCGCUGCCAACCCGCUCUUCAGUCUGCAGAGUCUGCAGAUGAUGGUGACGGCCACCGCUGACCCCCCGCUCUACCAGCAGGAGACCAUGGACCUGUCUAAGGCCAGGCAGAACGGCAACCUGCCCAACGGCGAAACGGGAGACAGUGUCAGUGUGAUCGCCCAAAAUCCCCUACGAGACCUUACACCGCCUGAGCCCGACAAAAUCCCCAACUCCGAUAAGGCGCCUCCCCUCCCUUCGCCCGCCUCCCCGGAGCCGGCCGCUUCCGCGCCCCCUGUACCCCUCCAACCCGGGGUAGGGGUAGUGGUAGGGGUACCAGUCCUCCCCGAACACAAGCCCCCCACAAAACCGGACAUUGCUGCCGCCGCGCACACUCCCGACAACGUCGAGUCCAUUCUUGAAAACAUGUUUCGCAUCCAAGAAGACAAGCAGCUGACCCCUCCCCCUCCUACAUCUGUUACCCCUCAUUCCGUCAUCGUUCCACCCCCCACCACACCCCAUAAUAGUGCUAGUACUAGUUUAAGUAAAGACUUGGCUCCAGUGUGCUCGCCGCCCGAGAACAUUAACGAACAAAAACUUAUUGAAAUUCUCAAGGUCGAGGACACCGACCAAUCAGUCGAGGAAAGUAAAGAAGAAACGAAGCCGGUAGACGAAGUGAAGAAGAAGGAGGCGGAUGUAGUGAGUGAGACAAAUGUGGAGGACUCAACAAAGACUGACAGUAGUAGUAGUAGUGUAAAAAAUGAACCGGUGUCGAUAGCGUGUGAAGCAGAUGAAGCGGCGAAACCGGCAGAAGCUGCAAGUUCUUCGGUUGAGGAGGUUGUAAUAUCAGACUCAGAAGAUGAAGGUAACGCAACGAAAGAUUCGACGUCGUCGCCUGUUGUAAAAACAGAAAAAGUGAAAGACGAACCAGAUAGUAUGUUUACAGAGGUGGAAUCUGAACUGGAGAAGAUGUUUGCGGGCAUUGUGGAGCCGGGGAGUGAGGGGGACUUGUUGGCUGUGAAGGAGGAGACAGGGGAAGGGGAGGGAGAGAAGAAGCCAGAAACGAAGCCAGACAAGAGGCGCGGACGACCGAAGGGCGCUCUGUCCAGGCGAAGUUCGGACACCUCGUUUUCGGGAGUGGAGAGUUCUGCGAAAAAGCGCAAAGGCAAGGAAAGUGUGGACAAGAAAGGCGCGAAGAAAGUACGUGUUGAGGUUGGAAGUGAUGCUAAGAAAGGGCGGGGGACAGGUAGCUUGUCGGCGGCUGAUGUGGGAAAGUCACGUGGUCCGGUGGUGCACGUGGAGGGGUCACGUGACAAUCCGACGAGUGUGAUGGUGGUGAACGGCGGGUCACGUGCUUUGGACGACGACGAUGCCGGCGACGCCACCAAGGCUUCCUACCGCACCAAGCGCACCGCCAUUUUCCAAACCGAAGCUAAGACGCGCGGCCAAGGUGCUGGUCUGUACAGCAGCACGCUGUCACUACGCUAUGACUCGCAGACGGCUGACUCGACGUGGCUGUGUGUCCUCUGCAAACGCGGACCGCACUGCGAGCCGUGUGUCGGCGACCUGUUUGGCCCCUACCUCAUCACGCUUCCGCCUGCGGUUGCGGCCGCCACGCCGCCAAAUGACGCGCCCUGCGACUAUGAGCUGAGUGCCGAACAGAAGCGGCGCGCCGGCGGCAAGGUGGCCGCCGCUAGUCUGCGUGCCACCGGCGGUGCCGAUCAGUUCGUGCACAAGACUGCCAAAAAGAAACGCACAGCGUCGCUGGACGGUAUGAUGGGCGGGGUGGUGCCUGUGGCCGGAGGAGGGGGGGAGUGCGAGGUGUGGGUGCACGAGGCAUGCGCAGUGUGGGCUCCAGGCGUCUACAUGAUUGGCGCGCGUCUCAUCGGCCUACAGGACGCCGUAGCAGCUGCCAUCAAAACGCGUUGCAACCUGUGCGGUGAGCCGGGCGCGUCGAUCGGGUGUGUGACGCGUGGCUGCCGACAACUGUUGCACGUGGCAUGCGCGCGCCGCUCCAACUGGCAUCUAGACCAACACACGUUCAUCUCCAAGUGCAGCCAACACGCCAACUUCCUGCAAGCACACAGUGCCAAUGCAAACACGGAAUUUGGAAGAAGAUGAAACUGAUUAGUCGAAUUGAGAACUGUCAUCAAAUGUACUCUCUUGUCGACGAACAUAUUACUGCAGGUUGAUGAGGUUCUUAACCGCGGGAAGGUCAGCCCUUGAAAGUGGCAUCGAGAAUAAAAAUUUAUGUGAUGAACUCUUAAAAAAUAAGUUAUUGGAGAAUCGUUUUUAUUUUUAUGUAUUUAUGUACGUACAUGUGUAGACGAUAACUAAUUAUUAACGUAUGUAUUAUUUUGAUUAUAAAAUAUCGUACUUGUACAUUGUAGAUAUGUUUGUUAUAUAUUAUAUAUACGGAGAAAUUGGUAACUUCUUAUGCAGUGUUGUGAUAAAAAUUAUAUUUGUUAUAAGCCGCGCGAUUUAUUUAAAGGAAAACUAUUUAAUUUUAGCUGCUUGUGUAAAAUAGGAAAACGAAUGAUGUACUACAGUAUAAAUAUUUUGUAAAUCAGUUAGAUUUAACAAAUAAUCAAUGAAAUAAUUUUAGUCAGUUAUAAUGUAGAUUGUUUACUUCAGCAAUUUUUAGUGAGAUUGACACGGUAAUGAAGAAACUAUGUCAUACAAAAAAUAUAUUCCACUUCAUUAAAAUGCAGUAGCUCUCCUAAUGAUUGCGUCAAUUUGUUUUUUUGUUUCAUUUUUUUAUUUCAAUUGGGAAGAUGAAAAAUUGAGUUGUAAAAAAUAUAAACGUUUUAAAUAAACUAUUUAAAAAAAAUUGAACCACGUGUGUGGUAGCUCAUGUAAUAGGCUUUAAUUGGAUUGAAUUACAUAAAAUAUAUUGUAUAGUAUCGAGGGCUAGUGGUUCGUAUAACUGACUGCUAUUUCUAUUCAAGUUGUGUAUGUUUUAUAGUCAUUAUAUUCAAUAGUUAAUCAUAUCCACACAUUAGCAAUAGAAUUUCCCCCAUGAAAACCUAUGUAGGAAACUUUGGGAAUAAAUGUCCUCCUAGUCAAAUAAUGAUGAAAGCUUUUUAAUUUGAUCAAAUUUAUCCCAUAAAAUCCGCUAUAGUUACUGUUCAAUGAUAUCAACAUUAAUAGCAUAUCCUAGCGCUGUAAUUUUGAUAAUUUCGCAAAGAAGUGAAUAUGUUCAGUUUCAAUAUAAAAAUAAACUAAUAAUGAACUUCAUUUUUUUCUUAUUUCAAUACGAGAACAUGUUUUAUUCGUGAAGUCUAUAAAAAAAUCUCUGACAAUAUUUCAAUUUUAUUUGAGUAAUUAAUUUAUUAUGUUAGAUAUGAAUCCAUAGAUUUGUAAACAAACAUUCAACUAAGAGGACUCAUUUGUGAAAAUACUUCACAAUCACGUUUGGAAUUUAAGUUUAUGGCGUAGCCGAUGUUUUAGUAUAGAUUCCAAUAACUUCAAGUAAAUUCUCGUGUAGUUGUCAUUCUAGGCUCUUAGUAGUCUAUUCUAGUCUGUAUCUCCUUUCAGACAUGAACAAAAUUAAUUUCAUGCUAAUGAAAUGAUAUGCAGCAUUGCAGUGCAAUUUUAUGUGGCAAUUGAAAAUAAACUGAAAUCUUGAAGGUUGAAUAUUCAAUAUUUUAGAUCUUAUAUAAUAGGUCUUCCUUUGAUUGUUUCUAUCAGUUAGCUUGAAUCAAUUUGUCAUAACUUUUCCUUUCAAUGUUUGGAAUAGGAGGAAAAUUGUGACUUGAAAUCUCACUACGUCUUUCAUUCGUAGUCUCAAUACAUAUAAAGACAUUAUCAUCAUUAUUUACCUACUAAUUAGGUACUUACUAUUGUAUUCUUAUUGCAUUUAGUUUUAAUGCAAAUCCAAUAUAUUUAUCUAUUCUUUUUCUUGGUGGAUUAUGAGUUGAGAUUCUUGUCCGUUGAGGUCUGGUUGUGGUUGCUAAAAUUGGUAUUCCCUAUUAUAAGAUGAAUUGAUUUCAGUACGUUGCUUCCUGAGAAACAUGAACAUGAGUCGUUUCAUUUAUGUAGAACUAGAAGUCAAUUAUUGCUAUUAUCGAUAAAGUGAUAAGUAUUGCUAUUAUCGAUAAAGAUUAUUGCUAUUAUUGAUGAAAGUUUUUAAAUCAUGUUUUCUGUACUUUCCAAUAGAUAUGUGGUAAGUCUACCAACUUUCAGAUUAUAUUUAGGUUAUUGUGUCACGGUUUUUUUAAUCGUUUCAAAUAUUUUCAGUCUUGAUGUUGGCACCAUGCAAAUACAUGACUGAAGUGAUUCGUUUGUAAGUAAUAGAAGAGGAAAAUUUACUUUUAUUUGCUACUUUAUCUAAUUUCAAUAUAAUUUUUCGAGAAAUUUUCCACUUUUUUAAUUGAAAGAAAAUGUAACUUCUUAUCAAUUUUCAUUUUUAAUAUAAUAUUUUAAUGGGCAAGUUUAUGGAAAUAUUUUCGAGAAAUUUUCCACUUUUUUAAUUGAAAGAAAAUGUAACUUCUUAUAAAUUUUCAUUUUUAAUAAAAUAUUUUAAUGGGCAAGUUUAUGGAAAUUAAUAUUUCAUCUUUUACAGUUUUACAAUUUGAAAUGUUUGAUCCAACCUGUAUAUUUUUAUAGGUUUUUGGUAAGGAAAAUGCACUAUCCUACUUAUAACUACGCACAUAACACAUCACUGAAUCUUUAUCAGAGUUUUAUUUAUACAUUAUCAUAUAUCAUAUAUCAAUACUUAAUAUCUCUUAAAAAGAGUGAUCAAUGAAUCUUCCCAAUUUUCAAUAAGAUUCUGUGAAAUUAUUAUUUAAGAAUAUAUACUUUUAUAAGCAGCAUAUUGUAAGAUCUUCUGUAUUCCUUUACUGUGUUUAUAUUAGAUCGAUUUAUUACUUGUAGGUUUUAUAAUAUAAUUUUCAUAAAUACUUAUGUUUAUUUUUCUUAAAACCAAUUUUAAACUUGAGUAGCGUGUUUGUGAGAGUGUAAGUCGAGAAUUGUGUUACAGUUAUAAAAUUUGUGAUCAUGUCUUUUAUAUUUCUAUUGUUUUUUUACCGGUCUAUUCCUAUUAAAAACUUACGUUUUUACUUCCACGUUGCAUUUUCACUAUUAUACAUUUAUUAAUAGUCAUCAUUGUACCGGUAUCAUGAAUUCUAGUUUGAAGUUUGGCAUUCAAUUUGCUAGAUAAUUGAUCAAAUAAGUAAUAAUACUUGUAUACUACUAAUACUUGAUACAUAUGUACUGUCACAGCAGUACAUAUGUUUUCCAAUUAUAAUUGGAUAUGUAUAAAACAAUUUUGUUUCCAGUUUUGAUCACUUUGGUACGUUCCUCAGGGAUUGCAGAAAUCCCCAAGUAACAAUAUAUGGCUCGAAUAUAUUCCUACAGUUCAAUAAACAGUAAAAAUUUAUUCAGUAAAGCUGGAUUCCUACUUAUCAGUUAAAUUGGCAUGUACAGUGAGAAUAUUAUUCCCAUAACCUCUAAUGGGACUAUUCAUACUGGCUCGGUCGUGCUGAGAAAAUAUUCCAAUCAGAACUCAUGGAAAUUAUGUUUUCACUGUGCCAAUAACUUCCACUGAAACUGAUUCGCCUUAAAUUUUGCAAAAUUAUUCUAAAACUCGUUUUUGUAUUUAGUUGAAACACAGUUUAUUCUUUCAAUCAUUAUAAUAAUUUUAGUUUGCCAGCCCUUUGCGUUGUGAUAGUACAAGUGAUAAGCAUAACUACUUUGUAAACUCAUGUACAGUAUAUUUUAAAGCCGAUAGUGAUUCGAUUGACUAAAUUUGAUAUUUCCCAUCUGGUGCUGUGAGUGAUUUUUCACUCUUUUAUAAACUUGGAUUUUUGAAGACUUGUGAUCUUUUUGCUUUGAAUUCUUAAUGUUUUGUGGGAUUUGAUAAUCAUGAGAUGCUCAAACCAUGAACACCGAAUAGAGGCUUGUGAAUCAUUGCACAACCCAGAAAUUGCAGUAUUCUGGAUCAAAGUAUUUACACUUUCACCUGUUGACAUUACUAAUGUUACUCAUUCUAUUACGAAUAUAAUUAUUCUCAUUGAACAAUUGAAUGUUACAUCCAAAAAUAAUUGAUUGUGACUUAGGUGGUCAAAUUUUAUAGCUUAUUUGAUGAGUCUUGUAAUAAGUGUUUCCUGUAAAAUAUAUAAUAUUGGGAAACGUAUCUAUAAAUCAUUAAUGUUAAUCCAAUUAUCAAUAUCUGACAUCUGUACCGUUUCUCAAAGCAAUUUCGUCCUUGUUUGAAAAGCAUUUUUAAUACAUGUUUCACAUAAUAUAAUGAUUAUAAAUUGGAGUUUCAUUGUAAUGUAUUUGUAACUUAUAACUCAUUUGCAUGAAAGAAUAUUGUAAUGCUUGAUUUUUAGUUAUAUUUGAAACGAUCACCAGACAUUCUACUUGUAUGUGACGAAAAAGCGCAUCGACUUCUUGAAUUAUUUUCAUUAUUGUGGAAAUAAACCAAUUUAUAUUUUCAA
rnacentral:misc_RNA from 1 species